GACGAACGCUGGCGGCGUGCUUAACACAUGCAAGUCGAGCGGUAAGGCCCUUUCGGGGGUACGACGAGCGGCGAACGGGUGAGUAACACGUGGGUGACCUGCCCUCAGCUCUGGGAUAAGCCUGGGAAACCGGGUCUAAUACUGGAUAUGACUCCAUGACGCAUGUUGUGGGGUGGAAAGCCUUGUGCGGCUGAGGAUGGGCCCGCGGGCCUAUCAGCUUGUUGGUGGGGUGANGGCCUACCAAGGCGACGACGGGUAGCCGGCCUGAGAGGGCGACCGGCCACACUGGGACUGAGACACGGCCCAGACUCCUACGGGAGGCAGCAGUGGGGAAUCUUGCGCAAUGGGCGAAAGCCUGACGCAGCGACGCCGCGUGAGGGAUGACGGCCUGGU
rnacentral:rRNA from 1 species